UACAGGGGGGGCAAGCGUUGUUCGGAAUUACUGGGCGUAAAGGGCUUGUAGGUGGCCAACUAAGUCCGACGUGAAAUCCCUAGGCUUAACCUAGGAACUGCGUCGGAUACUGGAUGGCUUGAGUUUGGGAGAGGGAUGCGGAAUUCCAGGUGUAGCGGUGAAAUGCGUAGAUAUCUGGAGGAACACCGGUGGCGAAGGCGGCAUCCUGGACCAACACUGACGCUGAGGAGCGAAAGCCAGGGGAGCAAACGGG
rnacentral:rRNA from 1 species